rnacentral:rRNA from 1 species
UCCUACGGGAGGCAGCAGUGGGGAAUAUUGGACAAUGGGCGCAAGCCUGAUCCAGCAAUGCCGCGUGAGUGAUGAAGGCCUUAGGGUUGUAAAGCUCUUUUACCCGGGAUGAUAAUGACAGUACCGGGAGAAUAAGCCCCGGCUAACUCCGUGCCAGCAGCCGCGGUAAU